UACGUAGGGUGCAAGCGUUAAUCGGAAUUACUGGGCGUAAAGCGUGCGCAGGCGGCCAUGCAAGACAGAUGUGAAAUCCCCGGGCUCAACCUGGGAACUGCAUUUGUGACUGCAUGGCUAGAGUACGGUAGAGGGGGAUGGAAUUCCGCGUGUAGCAGUGAAAUGCGUAGAUAUGCGGGGGAACACCGAUGGCGAAGGCAAUCCCCUGGACCUGUACUGACGCUCAUGCACGAAAGCGUGGGGAGCAAACAGG
rnacentral:rRNA from 1 species